rnacentral:rRNA from 1 species
GACGAACGCUGGCGGCGUGCCUAAUACAUGCAAGUAGAACGCUGAAGAGAGGAGCUUACUCGUCUUGGAUGAGUUGCGAACGGGUGAGUAACGCGUAUGUAACCUGCCUUGUAGCGGGGGAUAACUAUUGGAAAGGAUAUCUAAUACCGCAUAACAAUGGAUGACACAUGGCAUGUAUUUGAGAUGGGCAAUUGCUCCACGAAAAGAGGGACCUGCGUUGUAUUAGCUAGUAGGUGAGGUAAUGGCUCACCUAGGCGACGAUACAUAGCCGCCCUGAGAGGGUGAUCGGCCACCCUGGGACUGUGACACGGCCCAGACGCCUACGGGAGGCAGCAGUAGGGCAUCGUCGGCAAUGGGGGCAACCCUGACCGAGAAGCGCCGAGGGAGUGAGGAAGGUUUUCGGAUCGUAAAGCUCUGUUGUAAGUCAAGAACGGGUGUGAGAGUGGAAAGUUCACACUGUGACGGUAGCUUACCAGAAAGGAACGGCUAACUACGUG